ACGAACGCUGGCGGCGUGGAUAAGACAUGCAAGUCGGACGGGACUUUCCGUUGUAGCAAUACGAUGGAAAGUUUAGUGGCUAACGGUGCUUAACACGUGGGCUAACCUGCCAGGAAGUGGGGGAUAGCUCGCCGAAAGGCGAAUUAAUACCGCAUGUGAUAUAGAGAGGACAUCCUUUCGAAAUUAAAGUCGGGGCAACCUGACGCUUCUUGUGGGGCCCGCGGCCUAUCAGCUAGUUGGUGAGGUAACGGCCCACCAAGGCUUUGACGGGUAGCUGGCUCUGAGAGGACCGACCAGCCACACUGGGACUGAGACACGGCCCAGACACCUACGGGUGGCAGCAGUCGAGAAUUUUUGACAAUGGGGGAACCCUGAUCGAGCGACGCCGCGUGGAGGAUGAAGGUCUUCGGAUUGUAAACUCCUGUCAUUGGGGAACAAUGCACAGAUAUUAACUGUAUUUGUGCUGAUAGUACCCGAAGAGGAAGAGACGGCUAACUCUGUGCCAGCAGCCGCGGGUAAUACAGAGGUCUCGCAAGCGUUGUUCGGAUUCAUUGGGCGUAAAGGGUGCGUAGGCCGGCGUGGUAAGUCGGAUGUGAAAUCUCGGAGCUUAACUUCGAAACUGCAUUCGAUACUGCCGUGCUUGAGGACUGGAGAGGAGACUGGAAUUACGGUGUAGCGGUGAAAUGCGUAGAUAUCGUAAGGAAGACCAGUGGCGAAGGCGGGUCUCUGGACAGUUCCUGACGCUGAGGCACGAAGGUCAGGGGAGCAAACGGAUUAGAUACCCCGGUAGUCCUGACAGUAAACGGUGCACGUUUGGUGUGGGAGGAUUCGACCCCUUCUGCGCCGGAGCUAACGCGUUAAACGUGCCGCCUGGGGAGUACGGUCGCAAGAUUAAAACUCAAAGAAAUUGACGGGGGCCCGCACAAAAGCGGUGGAGCACGUGGUUUAAUUCGACUGCAACGCGAAGAACCUUACCUGGGCUAUAAUGACAUGAAUCCUAGUGCGGAAACGUGGAGUGCCGCAAGAGAACUUUUGUUAAGGUGCUGCAUGGCUGUCGUCAGCUCGUGUCGUGGGAUGUUGGGUUAAGUCCGCAACGAGCGCAACCCCUAGUCGUACUAGUUGCACGAGCGUUGCGGCUCGGGCACUCUAGUCGAACUGCCCGAUCUCAAUCGGGAGGAAGGUGGGGACGACGUCAGUCAGUCAUGGCCUUAUGUCCCGGGCUACACACGUACUACAAAUGGUGGUACAGUAGAGUCGCAAGCUCGCGAGGAGUAAGCUAAUCCCUAAAAACGGCCACCUCAGUACAGAUUAGAGUCUGCAACUCGACUCAUUUGAAGCGGAAUCGCUAGUAUCGCUGAUCAGCAGGCAGCGGGAAUACGUUCCCGGGCCUUGUACACACCGCCCGUCACAGCCAUGGGAGUCGUUGGCUAGCCAGAAGUCGGCUGCGCCAACUCGCGAUAGAGGCAGGCCUCCAGUAUGCAGCGGUAAGCUGGGGUG
rnacentral:rRNA from 1 species